CUAACCUAGAUCGCUCUGAGGGAUGCAGAGGGAUGAAGACAGGGAUGAUUUGAGGGGCGCCUAUGGCCCGAGAGGACACCAACAGAAAUAGGGCUCUCGAAGGGAGGGCAGAUACUGCUAGAACUCUGGAACGGAAUAGGGCCCCUAAAGGUGGAAGGAUGGGUUUAAAUAGACCCUGGGAUCCGGUGCCAUAAUGAUCGCGAAUCCCCCCAGGCCAGCCCGUGCCCGACAC
rnacentral:lncRNA from 1 species